UACGUAGGGCGCAAGCGUUAUCCGGAAUUACUGGGCGUAAAGCGCGUGUAGGCGGUUGUUCAAGUCGGGUGUGAAAGCCUUGAGCUCAACUCAAGAAAUGCACUCGAUACUGGAUGACUUGAGGACCGGAGAGGAUAGUGGAAUUCCCAGUGUAGUGGUGAAAUACGUAGAGAUUGGGAAGAACACCAGUGGCGAAGGCGGCUAUCUGGACGGUUUCUGACGCUAAGACGCGAAAGCGUGGGGAGCAAACAGG
rnacentral:rRNA from 1 species